AUGUUUUUUCAAAAUUAUCCGGACGCAAAUCUAUGACUUUCAUUCCCAUGGCCUUAUGUUAUUUGAGAAAAUUAUAUGAAAAUCCUAUUGUUAUCGUGUAAAAACAAGCAGUGAAGUACUCACACCACUGAGCUAUAUUAAUAUAUCUGGAGAUCGUGCUCUCGACGAAAGUGUGUGGCCAAAAACAUGGCGGAUUUGACGUCACAAUCGACCUAUUUUCAUGGCAGUUUCCACUGACCCGUGGCUCGAAUGUUCGUGGGCGACAAAGUUCAACCCCCCCCUGGAUUUUACAGUGAUUUUGUAUGUUUAUAUUUUUAGUUGAUCGACAGAGAGUAUGUUUUUGAUUUUCGUCCUUUUGAAAAUACAGUAUUAUUCUAACUGCGCGUAUAAAUCAAUAAAGACCGAAAGCCAUUAAUAAAAAAAGACAUGAAUGGAGCUUGACGGCCACAAGAACAAAGCAUGUAAGUCAUUGAAAUGAUUUAUCAAUUCUUGUUGUAUUGUGAAUUUGAGUUGCAACCAUACAGUAUGUGGCCCAGUUUCGGGACAGUACCAGUAGCGGGUCAAUAGAAAUUUGAUUUCAUUUUUUUCCGCCGAGAUAAAAAGCGACGCGAAAUGAAAUAUACAGAUAUAAUGGUGAACCUUUCCUUUUUUGGAUGAUAGCUUUCGCAGGCUUUUUAGUUGAACUGUAUUCAAAGAAGAAUCCCUUUUGUCCGGGUAUGUUUAUAUUCUUUUACUAAAAUUUGUUCAUUUCACUGCGCAGUAAAACUAACUAAUAACAAUAAAUCGUAUUAUUGAUAUGUAAUUCUCCAUGUAACUGCCCAAUUUUGUCCUAACGAUAGAUUAUUGCCGAGAAUAUAUAAAUAUGAAAUGGCAAUUCAAUUAUUCAGAAUUUCAGAGAUAUAUUCUGGUCCCACAAAUUACGUUUCAGUUUGGCUUUGUGGCCCAGUUUCGGGUCAGCUAUGUUUCAACCUUUGAAAGUGGAAGCACUGCUUAGAACGCACUCCGCAAAAACUGUGUAGAAGAGGUAGUUUCAAGCUGGAAAUAUCAUGUCUAAACCUUGUCAAAACCUCACAAAAAAUUGGUAAUAACUUAAGACAUGUUGAAACUAUACAAAAUGAUCGAAAAUUGCCGUAAAACAAACGCUUUUAUACCAUAAACAAAGAAACUUGAAGUGACCCGAUACUGGUGCAGUUGACCCGAUACUGGGCACCUAAAAUGAUUCUUAAAAAUAUAAAUAAUUCUAAAAGUGAAAGGUAAGAAAAGUCAAUCUUUUGAAAUAUUGUUAAGAAACACCUUUCCUAUUCUCAAGUGAGCAUUUAAAAAUUGUACCUUUCCUGAAAAGGAAGAUAUAGCAGUUCAAACCUGAAAUGACCCGAAACUGGGCCACAUACUGUAUUGGUUGCAACUGAACUGACUAUCAAGAUUAUUCUUUAAAACACGAGUAUUAUAACAAUCCCCAGCAAGUAAAAUUAAGCAAAUAUAGCUUGUUGAAAACCGUACUGCUAUAAAUUUCCCUGAGUGACAAAGGUUUUUUUAGAGAUUUUAAUACCAGUUUAUUCUAUUAGUAAAUUGUGGGGAAAAGCAACUCUUUGGAAUAUAAAGCACUUAUAUGACCAUUAAAGUUUUUUACACCUGUAUGUAUUCCGCUUUCAGGUAUGAAUUUAUCAAGAAAAUAUGGGAUAUCUGUACUAAGUACCAGAUGGCAAUGAAGAAAGUCAAGUGUAUUUCUUUAUAAUGGUCUUUCUUGUAAAAGGCAAUGGCACUAUUUCAUUGAACAUUCAAGGAACAAUCGCCUUUUAAAACAAAUAUGCACAUUUUUGUGCUCGAGUUACAGUGUUUGAUUUUGAUAUCUGCAUUUUAUGCGAUUCAUACCUUAUUUUUAAGUGUUCCUCAAAUAUUGAUUCAAUACUGACAUUACCUCGGGCUGAUCAAUUCAUUCCAUCAACUAAGAUAUUUGCCGUGUUGGUGUAAUACAUGUACUCAGGUGAAUAAGAUGCUUGUGUGAUGUUCCGUACUCUGAGUGGAUAUCCACACUGGGCUGGCUUGAAAAAUAUGCCUGGCCACAGUGGGAUUUGAACCUACAACCUUUGGAAUACUGGCCCAAUGCUCUGCCAACUGAGCUACAGGUAUACAGUCGGGGCAGUUCGAGUAUGCGAUAUUUCGGAACUGAGUCUAGUUCCUUCGAUAUCAGUGUAAUCUAAUAACCAUGAUAUUUGUGAAUAUGAUGCUUGUGUGAUGUUACUCUGAGUGCAUAUCCACACCGGGUAAGCUUGGAAAAUAUGCCAAGCCACAUUGGGAUUCAAACCGACCUGACCGCGUAGCUCAGUUGACAGAGCAUUUGCAUUUGGGCUAGUAUUCCAAAGGUCGUAGGUUCAAAUCCCACUGUGGCCAGGCAUAUUUUUCAAGCCUGCCCGGUAUGGAUAUACACUCAGAGUAACAUCACACAAGCAUCUCAUUUCAUCAAGUUCCUCCAGAUAUUCAUACACUUCCUGUGAAAGAGCCAAUUCCAAGUAUUUAAUCAUUUCUGGUCACUUCCUUUCUAUUUAUGAUUGGUUAGUUGCACAAACAACAAAGGUGAUUGGUGCAUUCAAAUCAUUUAACAGGAAGUUUACAAUUAUACUAGGAAGUGUAUGAAUAUCUUGAGGAACUUAAUCAAAUGAAUUGGUUAGCCCGAGGUAAUGUAUUGAAUCAAUAUUUGAGGAACACUUCAAUUGGAACGACAGUGAAGAAUUAUUAAGAAAAUAUUUUAUUCAAAAAAAGAUUUUCCAAGAUAAUUAUAUAAUUACAUUUAGUAAUAAGAAUAAAUAAUAUAUUCAAUUUCAAAUCACAACAAAAUUUAUUCUUUAUUUUUAAACACAUACAACACCAAUUUAAUUAAAUAAACUGCUCAACCAAUUCUAUGCAUGUCAAUCCCUACUUGAUGGUCAGUACCUAUACAGUAAUUAUGCUAGCCUAAUUUGUACACUAACACAAAUGGUCAAAAUAAAUGUAAAUGUAGCAAUUUUGGCUUAGCUAAACAGACCAAAAUGUGUACAAAUAACUUAAAGUUGUUAGCAGAAAAAUUAAGGAAUAAAUUUAACCCAUUGAGUGGCGAAGCACCCUAUUUUAGUAUUUUACUCUGUCUAACGCCAGACAAUUUUACUCGUCAAGGGGAGAGCACUGGCGCUUAAUGGGUUAAUUACCCA